AUACGUAGGGUGCGAGCGUUGUCCGGAAUUACUGGGCGUAAAGAGCUCGUAGGUGGUUUGUCGCGUCGUCUGUGAAAUUCCGGGGCUUAACUCCGGGCGUGCAGGCGAUACGGGCAUAACUUGAGUACUGUAGGGGAGACUGGAUUUCCUGGUGUAGCGGUGAAAUGCGCAGAUAUCAGGAGGAACACCGGUGGCGAAGGCGGGUCUCUGGGCAGUAACUGACGCUGAGGAGCGAAAGCAUGGGUAGCGAACAGGAUUAGAUACCCUGGUAGUCCAUGCCGUAAACGGUGGGCGCUAGGUGUAGGGGUCUUCCACGACUUCUGUGCCGUAGCUAACGCAUUAAGCGCCCCGCCUGGGGAGUACGGCCGCAAGGCUAAAACUCAAAUGAAUUGACGGGG
rnacentral:rRNA from 1 species